GACGAACGCUGGCGGCGUGCUUAACACAUGCAAGUCGAACGGAAAGGCCCUGCUUUUGUGGGGUGCUCGAGUGGCGAACGGGUGAGUAACACGUGAGUAACCUGCCCUUGACUUUGGGAUAACUUCAGGAAACUGGGGCUAAUACCGGAUAGGAGCUCCUGCUGCAUGGUGGGGGUUGGAAAGUUUCGGCGGAUGGGGAUGGACUCGCGGCUUAUUAGCUUGUUGGUGGGGUAGUGGCUUACCAAGGCUUUGACGGGUAGCCGGCCUGAGAGGGUGACCGGCCACAUUGGGACUGAGAUACGGCCCAGACUCCUACGGGAGGCAGCAGGGGGGAAUAUUGCACAAUGGGCGGAAGCCUGAUGCAGCAACGCCGCGUGCGGGAUGACGGCCUUCUGGUUGUAAACCGCUUUCGCCUGUGACGAAGCGUGAGUGACGGUAAUGGGUAAAGAAGCACCGGCUAACUACGUG
rnacentral:rRNA from 1 species